CGCCUGUGGAGAGGACAGAGGAGAGAAUGAGACACCACUUCACUGGACCCAGUCCCUUCAUCAGCCCUGGAACUGAGGAUUCUCCUGCCUGUAGCUGCUGCCACCAAGAGAAGGAGCCUCCAGGUCCAGUCCAUGAUUCUCACACUGAAAAACUGUCAUCCAUCAAAGACUUGUAAAAGGUUGAUCUAAUGGAGAGAAAGAUAAUAGUUUUCAUGAGGAAAUUGUGCUCAGGCUGAUGACAGAGCGGUAUCUGGGGAGGAGAGAGGCUGACAACACUCAGCAUUGUUGCUGGGGUAUAAACAGAGUUUGAGAAGAAGUGUGCAUGUGCCAGGAGCCCCACACAUAUAAGGGGUAGGAACGACGGCGACGCUCUGUCUCGGAGCCUCUUCCCGGGGGUGAGUGUCCUGCUCAGGCGUCAGAUGACACAAAUUCAUUCCUGCUCUGAAAGAGCAUCCCUCUGCUGAGUAUCAAGGCAUCCAUUCUCAACCCUAGGGUGUCGGGUGACAGAAACAAGCAGUUUUGCUGGACAGAGAGGGCAGAAUAGGAGUAGGAACCGGGGAAACAUCUUGUGCCCAGGACAUGUGGCCUGAAGUCCACCUCCUUUUUUGGGUUCCCAGCUGGAGAUGCUCCAUUGUGAACUUUACUGGCAGUCAUGCUUCUGGAGGGAGGAUUGGGAGAAAUGCUGAUUAUGUUCUCUUCUUUGGAAAAAUCACAACUGUGUUGGAAGAAUUGUUUGUAUGGGACAUGGCAGCCACGAUGAGUCAUCACCCCUCUCUGAGGAUACAGGAUCUCCGUGUUCAAAGAGGAGAGAGACUCCAGGUGUGCAGAAGCACAGUGUUUCAGGACCUGGGAACGGAAUCACAGGAGACCAAGUACAGCAGGACUGGUCAAGAGGACUGAAGCACUGAUAGGAGACUUUGGGUGAGGAGAACAAGUAAUGCAGGAUGUUUGAGAAGUUUCCCCCAAAGCAAAAAGUGGAGAAGUUCAUCACCAGUAGACCUGCCUUAGAGGAAUGCCAAGUGUCGCUGAGCCACUGGGAUUGGGGUUUCAGCAUAUGAAUUUAAGAGCAGGACACGAUGAAUUCGAUGACGCCAAUCAAGGGAUGAGACUUUGGAGAUAAGCAAAGAAUCAUAAGUCCAGAUAAAUUCUUCAAGGGAAGAUGUUUUACAGAGAAGAAGCCACAGUGCUGACCGGAAGCCAGACCUUAGCCUCCAUCUGCACCUGCCCCUGAGGCUGGCUCUUGUGAUCAGUGUGUCCUGAGCACCCCUGCGGUUAGAAUCCUGUGUCCACUUCAGUGAGCUCAGCAUGAUGUAAACUCCACCGCAGAUGGCUGCAGCCAAGUAGACAGGACUCCUUCUGCCCAGCUCCCACCAGAGCACACUCUUCCCCCGGGGCCAGGACAUUGGCCGUCUGACCUUGCCUACAGGUCAUGUUGCUGAGGCUCAGUCCUUGACAAGACUUACUGAGAACCAGAGACUCACUUCUUCCACACAGCCCCACUCAUGGAUGCAGGCUCUGUCCUGGGUGCAGCACCAAGGAGGACAUGGGCUGCCUGGUUCCCAGCCCUACUCCUAUGGCAGAGGGUCCACCCAAGCAGGAUCUGCAUGCUGAUAAAGUGCAAAGCUUCUCCCCAUCCCUCCACUGAGUACUCAGCUCCCACAUUAAGGAAGAAAAAUGCUCCUAAUCUCCACCUGUAGAACCUUAUUCAAGAGCUCUGUCUGUCUCAGGAGCAGCGGGUGGGGUUGCUAAAAUUUAGUCAUAAAAUAGAGUCCUAAAUGUGGUCUUGAAGGAUCUGAUUUCGUUUACAACAGCGUGGAGAAUUACAAAGCCCGCGAGUGCUCUCAAAAACAGUGGAGGCUGUGGUAAAAUGCACUUGGAAGGAGAUGGAUGGAUGCAGGAGAGAUCCAGGCUAAACUGCAGGGCUGCUGGGUUGCAGGAGAGAACCAAGAAGAAAGAGAGUGGGGAAGAGCUCUCCUGGGGUCAGUACAAAUGUCAGGCACUGUUUGUUCAAAGGUGCCAAUGUUUGUUUGGUUGAGUCUGUAGAGCAAUUUAGACCUCAGUCCAUUGUCGAAAAUAUAAAUUUGCAACUGCACGUCGUGGAACUCAACAUCUGGUCCUGGUCAGGGAAGAGAUAGAGAGAGCGCAGCCCAAACCAGUGACAUGCGAGGGUGACAGUGAUAUCCGUGACUGUGUCUCCGGGGAUCUUUCAGGCAGGGCUUCCCUCACUCAGGAGAAAGUCUGGAGGUCACCUGUAAUGCUUUGUGUCAAAUAUUGAAAGACAUUCAUGUUGUUUUUAGUUUCUAACACACACACACACACAAUGUUAAAUAUGUGAAUACACGUGUGUGAACAUAUGAUUUUAAUCCUUUGUAACACAUACUCAGGAGUGAGAUUUCUAGGUCAUGGAUUAAGGACAUGUUUAAUUUGGUAAGAAACUGUGAAUGGUUUUCCCAGAAACUGUUUCAUUUUGCACUAGCAAUAUAUUAGUCUCUAGGGGCCUGGCAUGCUCACUGACACUGGUAUUGCCAGCAUUUCUUCUUUAUUUUUUGUCAUUCUAAAGCCUAGAGUCGUGUCUCCUUUUGAUCUUUAUUUGCAUUUCUCUACUGGAAAAUCACAUUCAUAUGCUGAUGUGUCAUCUGUACAUCUUCUUUGAUAAAAGGUUUGCACAAACCUUUGCCUAUUUUUAAACAGAUUGCUUCUUUUUACUGCUGAGUUUUGCAGGUUCCUAUUAUAAUUACAUUGGUAGAUCCAUGAUUUGCAAAUAUUUUCUCCUCUGAAGCUUGUCCUUCAUUUUCUUGAUAGUCACUUGAUUAGGCAAUGUCUUAAAAUUCGAUGAAGUUCAACUAAUAUUAUUUUCACUUAUUGAUCAUAAAUUUUAAUUUUCAGGAUUACUGAUCAACUGUUAAUAAUUUCAUUUUAAUUGUAUUUGUUUUUAUUUUGUAUGUAUAAAUUUAUGGGGAGUGACUGCAAUUUUGUUACAUAUAUAUAUUGCAAAGUAGUAUUGGCUUUAAUGUAUCCAUGAUCCAAAUAAUGUACAUCGUACCCCUUAAGUAAUUUCCCACCAUUCUCCCACCUUCUGCUCUCCUAUCUUUCUGAGACUCAGUGUCCAUCAUUCCUUUCUCUGUGUCCCUGUGCACAUAUUACUUAGCUCAGAUUUGUAAGUGAGAACAUGUAGUGUGUACUCUUCUGUUUCUCAGUUAUUACACUUAAAAUAAUGACCUCGAGUUCAAUCCAUGUAGCUGCAAAACACAUGAUUCCAUUCCUUAAUAUGGCUGGAUAGUAUUUAAUUGUAUAUAUGUAAC